rnacentral:rRNA from 1 species
GAUGAACGCUAGCGAUAGGCCUAACACAUGCAAGUCGAGGGGCAGCACUUCGGGUGGCGACCGGCGCACGGGUGAGUAACGCGUAUGCAACCUACCUGUUACAGGGGAAUAACCCGGAGAAAUCCGGACUAAUACCGCAUAAUACUAUUUUACCGCAUGGCGAGAUAGUUAAAGAUUUAUUGGUAACAGAUGGGCAUGCGUGACAUUAGCUGGUUGGUGAGGUAACGGCUCACCAAGGCAACGAUGUCUAGGGGUUCUGAGAGGAAGGUCCCCACACUGGUACUGAGACACGGACCAGACUCCUACGGGAGGCAGCAGUGAGGAAUAUUGGUCAAUGGACGCAAGUCUGACCCAGCCAUGCCGCGUGAAGGAUGACUGUCCUAUGGAUUGUAAACUUCUUUUAUGCAGGAAAAACAGCCUGGUCGAGCACCGGGUUUGAUGGUACUGUAUGAAUAAGCAUCGGCUAACUCCGUGCCAGCAGCCGCCGUAAUAC